GUAACCAAAACUGUGGAGGCAAAAAACUGUGGAUAAGGAGGAACUACUGUAAAAAAAGAUCUAAUUCCUUUGCAAAAAAAAAAAAAGACACAGAAGCUUACAUCUUCUUUCAGUUUCAGCAUCUCAGCUCAUACAAUGACCAUAUGUAAAGACUGAAUUUGUCAGUGCUACCUGACAAUAAUCUUACAGAAAUUUAAAAUCACAUAAAUUUCAGAGUCAAAAAAGAAAACCAUAAAGAUCAUAUAAUCCAAACCCCUUAUUUCACAAAUGAAAAGGAGGCCCAGAGAGACUCGUCUGGACUAUAGAGUUCAGACAGGCAAAGUAAUUGUCCAUAGUUACACAGCUAGUAAAUGUUAGAACUAGAACUCAAAUAAUCUAACAUCCAGUCCAACACUCUUAGAUAUCACAUAAUUUCAAACAUAAUUCUGAGGUGUAGUAAAAUUACGAAUAGCAACUUAUAAACUACAGAAAUCUCAGCCAAUUUCUCAAGUAUACAAAUAGAUUAGUACAAAGAUGAUCUUUCUGUAACAUUAGUAAGGCAGCAGGAAAAAUAAGGUAAGAUAAUGUACAAUUUUUUAGCCUGAACAUUUUUUAACUUUACACCUAAGGUAGUGUUAUAAAAGCACUGAAUAGGUGAAGAUAGAAGGCUUAGGAAAAAAAUAAUACUAACUAUCAGAAAAUUAUCUUUUAAAUUAAAGUAUGUCUUUUUUUUUUUUUGAGAAAAAAAUUGGGCUUUUAUUGGCAAUUACAAAAGUAAUAGAUUUUCUUACAUAAUACGUUCCUUCAGUAAUAUAUUUUUCAAGUAUUUUACCAUAGAAUUUCUAAAGUACUUUGUCAUUGACCCCAUAAUUUAUUAUAAAGUAGGUCCCAUAAUCACAUUUUUUGGAAGUUGCUGAAAUUGAGAUAAAAAAUAUUGUUUUUUUAUGAGAAAAACUGGACAAAAUACAGAAUGGCCAAAACUAGAUUAACUGGCUCAGUUAUGUCUACUAGGUGAAAGAAAAUACAGAAUCUGUUACUGUAGAAAUUUUAAGAGGUUUUGAGUCAGUUCCAGUAUAAAAAUAAGGCCAAAGUUCUCCUGUAAAAUCAUCAUUAAAAGUACAGAGAAGAGAUCUAUCAUUCAAAUUAUAAAAGGAAACCUCAUUCAUUUCACAGUCUAAAAAAAUGCCAAUCUUACUAGGUGUUACUUUUGGCAGCAGAAUAAUUUCCUUAUGGCCCAAUACAAUAUAAUUAUUCCGACUAGAUUACCAAAUUCUCCAUAAUCCAUCCUGUACUAAAAUUGGUUGACUCUUCCUCCUUGUGGGAGGAGAGUCACUACAGACACCAAGAAUCCAUUCAGGCAUGUCUUUAACUUCUACUUCCCGGUACUGCCUGCCACAAUUUUAUCCCUUAGAACCCAGAACAGCUGGGAGCAGAUAAAAUCUUCUUGGGUUAUGAGUUCCCAGAUGAUGCUGCUGGCCUGCGGACUGUACUUUGUGAACUUAUGCUGGAGCAGAUGGAUCAGAAACCCCGGCCAGAGGAUGCUCAGGACCCAUCAAGCCCCCGCGAGGAAGGACUCAGACCCCCAACCCCACCAAAUUAAAGCAGGCAAUGGAGAAUUAUACUGAAGGGAUUCUUCGGCUGGGCAAAAACAUGAUUAGAUCUGCAUUCUAAAGACUGCUCGCAGAGUAGAGGAUGGAUUGGAGCAGGGAGUCUACUGCAAUAGUACAGAUGCGAUAGUGAAGACUUCAUUUAAAGCAGCACCAGCAAGAAUGAGGAAGAAGGGAUUAAUAUGAAAAACGUUAAAGAGGUGGAAUGUAUAAGGCUCGAUGGCCGAAUGAUGGGAGGUAGGAAUAGGGAGUGUGUAGAAGGAGUCUAAGAUGACUCCCCGAUCUCUGGUUUGGGGGAAAAAAUGGGUGGGGAUAUCAUUAACUAGGGCAGGUAGUAAUAGGUACCCAGCCUCCAAGACGGCCUGUUCCAUGAUCCCUGCCUCCUUGUAUUCAUGCUCCUGUGUGAACUGAGGUCUGCAGCAAUCACCUGAGUGAGUCUGGAAGCAGAUUCUCCAGCCCAGCCAAGCCUUGAAAUGACAGCAACCCCAGCUGACAGCUAGACUGCAACAUGGUGAGACCCAAAGCCAGAACCACCUUCCUAAGCUACUCCCCGAUUCCUGUCUCUCAGAAAUUUUGUAAAAUAAUAAAGGCUUGUUUUACACUCCUAAG
rnacentral:lncRNA from 1 species